UGGGGAAUAGUGCACAAUGGGCGCAAGCCUGAUGCAGCCAUGCCGCGUGUGUGAAGAAGGCCUUCGGGUUGUAAAGCACUUUCAGCGGGGAGGAAGGCGAUAAGGUUAAUAACCUUGUCGAUUGACGUUACCCGCAGAAGAAGCACCGGCUAACUCCGUGCCAGCAGCCGCGGUAAUACGGAGGGUGCAAGCGUUAAUCGGAAUUACUGGGCGUAAAGCGCACGCAGGCGGUCUGUCAAGUCGGAUGUGAAAUCCCCGGGCUUAACCUGGGAACUGCAUUCGAAACUGGCAGGCUAGAGUCUUGUAGAGGGGGGUAGAAUUCCAGGUGUAGCGGUGAAAUGCGUAGAGAUCUGGAGGAAUACCGGUGGCGAAGGCGGCCCCCUGGACAAAGACUGACGCUCAGGUGCGAAAGCGUGGGGAGCAAACAGG
rnacentral:rRNA from 1 species